GUGCAUUUCAGGCCAUUUAGAAAAAAACUAUCAACUACUACUAAGUAGUAAGAACCGUUUAAAGGACCAGCGAAAUCGAUGUGUAGUCUCGACCACGGA